AUGAACUGAAAGAACCGGGGAAUUUCUCCAGAGGAAAAGGGAGAAAUUAAACAUCACCAUAAGGAGCCUGGGUGCCAGGGGCUGGCUGGGCAGGCGGGGAGCAGCCAGAUCCCUGCUGCACUCCCCGAACCCCCCGGGAAGGGCUUGCAGGUGAGAAGGAAGCGCCGAGGACGAGGACGGCCGGGGUGAAGAGCCGGGAGGAGAGGAGGUCUCAGGCGGCUCCCCCAACCCCUCGUGUUCACCCCGAGAGCUCUGGGUGAGCCCCCCAUGCUCUGCGGACACAUGCCCGGAGGUGCCCAUGGGAUCCUGUCUCUGCUGACCGUGCUGUUCGUCCUGCCAGAGGUGUCUGGACUGCAGUGUUAUGGCUGCAACAUCGUGGUCGGCACCAAAAACGUGGACAUGGGGUGCUCCAACCCCGAGGUGAUUACCUGCUCCCAGUCCCACCAGGGCUUCAAGCACCGGUUCUGCAUUAAAACAGAGAGCGUGGUGCUGGGCAUGGUUCUGACCAGCGGCUGUGCCACCUCCCGUCACUGCCAGCAGCAGGAGCUGCCGGGGGUCCGCAUCCACUGCUGUGACACCGACCUGUGCAACAGCUCCCCCAGAGCCCCCCGGCCGCCCCCAGGCCACCUCCUGCUGCCCUGCAUCCUCGCUGCCCUGCUCCUCUCCUGAGCCCCCCGGGCCUGCGGGAGGCGGGGGUGUCCCCAUCGCUGCUCCUGGGGGUGGGCAGGACGCCCCCAUCUCUCCCCGCUCCUCAAUAAAAGGUGCCGAACGCUGCGCCCUGGGAAGGUC
rnacentral:lncRNA from 1 species